ACACACACAUUUAUUUUGCCACGUAAACCACCACACUGAUUUUGCAUCAAGAUAGUAACCUCUAGGAGAUAAACCCAUUCAUUUAUUUACAGUAACUGCUUCAAUCUGGUCAGGGUCAUGGUGGAUCUAGAGCCUGCUAUUGGAGCACAGGGUGGGAAUACACACUAAAUGGGAGACCAUCACUUGGCAAUAUACACAUAUUGUAUAUUCAUACCUCAUAGUCACUGCCAGGCUUGAGGUGAACCAUGUUUUGGUUGACUUGGCCAGAAUCGCAGCAGUAGGAUGGCUGGUUCCUUUCUGCACACUCACACACAUUCAUACCUGUGGGCGAUUUAGAGUAGCCAGUUAACCUAACUGCAUGUCUUUGGACUCUGCAGGAAACUGGAGCACCCAGAGGAAACCCACGCAGACAUGGGGAGAACAUGCAAACUUCACACAGAAAGGCCCCCGUUGGCCACUGGGCUUGAACCCAGAACCUUCUUGCUGUGAGGCAACAGUGCUAACCAUUGCACCACCAUGCUGCCCAAUAUUAAUACCUAGUAGCCAAUCCACCUACUUGCAUGUUUUUCAGAGAUGGAUGGAAACCAGAGAAACUGGAGGAAACCCACACAGGAUAAUGUGCGAAACUCCACUCAGAGAUUCACCUGAGCUGAGGCUCAAACCAGGAAUGUUGUCCAGCCCAAUACUGGUGACCUGUCCAAGGUGUAACCCAGGCAGCUGAAACUGGCUCCAAAGUCAGCUGGGAUUGGUUCCGGCUUCCCCCAUGACCCUGAUGGAUAAGCACUAUAGACAAUAGAUGGAUAGAUGCAUAAUCAGAUCAGUCUGGAUGGCAAUUGUAGGUUUACAAUUUGCAGUUGCAUUAUAAGUGUUAUUCAACACCAGAACCCUGCUGGAUAUCAUAAAGUGGCUUAAAUUUAAAAUGCCACAUUUCCAAAUUAAAUAUAGACAGUUAAUAAGUUUUAUUUUACUAUGUCAAGUUUGGAAUAAAAUUUGUGUGUCGCUUCGUGAAACCCAAAUACCCCCUAUUACAUGUGUUCUAGCUAUAGAAGGCAAUUAGUAUUGAACCUGCUGUCAGGUCUCUAAAAUAAACAUUAAAGGGGAAAAACCUACAUGCACAAGA